AGCUGGCCCCGGGGACCCGGGGCGGGGGAGGACACGCGGCGCGGACCUCCGCGCCCGCGGAAGGGACUGCGCGAGCCGAAAGCUGCCAACAGGCUUCUGAGAGAAAUUUGUUACAGGACCCGAAUCUGCAGCUGUCUCCCAUGAGCUGCUUCUACCUGACUGAAGGCUCAGAAAAUGAAACAGCCACCCAGCUCUCCCUUGAGAUGCAGGAGAUGGAUGCUAUGAGAAACCUCAGCACCUAUGAAGGCUCAGCGUUGCUCAGAGCACCCAGAAGACAUCCAACUUACUACAACCACAUGGCACAGCACAGCCCAGAGGUGCUUGAUAUCCACACCACAGCAUCACCUCAGAGCUGUGGCCACGCUAAUAAGUGUGGUUCGAAGCAUGAAACGGCCAUGCUACCUUCGGUCCAUGAGCUGGAGCAUGCUGCUGUCAGCUCUAGGGCCUCCAAAUCACAUGCCAUAUGUUACUCACAUAGAGUCAUGCCCUGAGAACGCUUCCAAAGGGCAGGUACUGCACACUUAGCAUCCACGUGGGGAAUCUGUGCAAUGUAACUAGGGCACUGGGAAUUCACACCCCAGCUCUCUGUGCUGCAACUUGUCCGUGGAGACAAACCCUGCAUGGCUUCUUCCAACAGUCCUGGUCAUCGGGGAGCGGCACGGAGAACUACAGCCUUGCCAAAUCUAAGCAUUCAAAAUCAUGAGUCACAGUUUCCAAAAAUUAUCUAACUAGUAUUUAAAAAUAAAUAAAUAAUAAUAAUUCUGGGUUUUUAUCGUAUUUCAGAUGACACACAAAAGUUUCUCCACAGUCCUCAGUACUAGAAACUCAAGGAAAAACAAAUAUAUGGCAGAAAGCAGAAGCUGAGAUUUUCACACAUCCUUACAAUUCCAGAAAUUGGAUCUUUAAGGAAAAAGUCCCAAACAAUAAAAACCAAAAGGCUUAUGAUAUAACUAUUAUGAUUUGACUAGCAGCAGAAGCAAAACAUCAUGAUUUGACAAACCUCAACUGGACAACUCAGCUCAAAAACUUGGAGAAAGAAGGUGAAACAUUCCAGCAUAAUUUUGGCUGCCAAAACAACAGAAACAAUUGUGCAAAACUUCAACACAAGAAAAAAAAUUAAUGAGAUUUGUUCCACUUUUAUGAACUCAAAGACAAACAGAUGUUGACAAAAAUAUGUUGCAAAGAGUUCUUGCUGUUGUUCAGCCCAACCCAAGUUGCAGCAAUGCAAAUGCAUCUCUUGUUCACUGUCUCACCCCCUUUGCUCUCGCUUUUCACUCACACAGAGCAGCCAGUGUCUUUGCACGCUGUGUGUUCUUUCACAUCUUUUACCAAUACAAUGGGUUUAAUUUCAGUCUCUUGUACACCAUGCUGACAGUGGCAAUUAUUCUUAUUUUUUCUGCAAGAACAUACCUGUACUGGGUACUUCCCAGAAAGAGCCACAGACUCCAUUUCAGAGGUACAUGAAAAAUCCCCACUCCUUAGUAACAUCUGCACUUUUUAAUAUGAUCCUACAAUUUGGACUGCAACUACCAAAGGGCUCAGCUGGCUUCCAUGCACUACUUUCUGUCCUCUCUUAAUACUGAAGCAACUCUUAAUUUUAUUUACUCUAGAUUAUAACUGUAGAACCUAAACUAAAUGAUGCUGAGAUCCAUGAGGUGCUCUCCUGGAAAAAGGUUUCAGAAAUGGAUCCCAUGUCCAAAUUGAAGAUGAUGCCAGCAAUGGUUUCAUUUCAAGGCAAUCCAGAUGUUCAGUAAAGUGAUUAGGAAGUGGUGUGUAUCAAAUAUAAGAUACUCUGCAUUGAACUAAUGCAUUUAUUUGCUCUGAAUGGUUUUCCAGUUCAAGGCAGCACUUUGCCUGUCACAAGUAAAGUGCUUUGACAGAACACAUGGAUAUUUUUGCUGCUUAAACUGAGCCAGCAAACAGAACAGCCAGCAACUCCCGAGUCUCAAAAGAGUCCAAAGUAGUACUGUCAUUCUGAUAUAUGUAUUUCCUGGUCAACUAAAUGCAGGAGUUCAUGUCCCAUUUGUCAGCGUCCUGCAUAUCCAGGGCCAGGAAGCAAAUAGGCAUAAUGUUAUCAUGUGAUCAUUGAGUUUUUGCCCUAUUACUGGCUAGCAAGUGUCCAGAGUGUCACUAAAAUCAGGUAAUAUGCCUCUUUGCUUUGAAGAAUUGAGGCCAAGAACUUGUCCCAGCUAUCAGUGGUGCAGCACCUCGGCCCAGCACUCUGUUUGUCCCAGUGCUGUCCCCAAGCUUGGUGUCCACACCUGCAGGCACAGGGCUCUGGUAUAUAACCCAGCCUCAGGUGUGUAACUGUAACAAGGUAGGCAAGACCUGUCCAGAGCUAGCAAGAGGUGGUAAAGCCUCAUCUCAAACUACUGUAGAGCACAAGUGCCUCCUGUCUCUCCCAUAGGGACCUGUUGGUGGUUUAUCAUUCCCUUCAAGGAAGAGGAAUGAGGAUGAAGAACAGCUGAGAAAGUUAAACAGGUGAUCCCCCUGUUUAGGGGGAUAUUUAAUAUUCUGAGAGAAUAUUAAUAUUUAAUAAUCUGAGAGAAAGUGUAGCCCAUUUCUCCUUCCUCGUUGUCAGAGAAACCUUCAGUCAACACACAAUUACCCCUGCUGCCUUGGCUCUCUAGGGAGAGUUACAGAGGCAAGGUCCCCAGGCAAUCACAAACACACUAAAACCAGAGGCAUCACAUCCUCUGCUAAUGGAAAACACUGUAGCUCCAUCCAGCUCAGAAAAGGCACCAGCUACCCGAUCCCAUCCAAAUGCAGCAUCCACAAACAUGGGCAGGAUCUUCUGCACUGUCAGGGUCCCUUUUGACUUUGGGCCUGUGUCUGUUUUUCUCACUCAAGUUGCACCUUUAGUUGUGAACAUGGGAAGAAAAAAAAAAUCCAGAUAAGAGAAUGCAGCUGGGUUGUAAUUUGUAGUUUCACAGUCCUCCGUGGAUAAGCCCCAACACAAUACAUCCAUUUGCCUGCAAAUUGAGAAUUGUGUUAAACCCACGGUAGUUCUGAUGUAACAAUAUCUUCAUGCUGAGAAACUUGAAGACUGCUGAGAAAUACAGCACUUAAGCAGAACAAAAAGCAAAUUCCCAGCAGCACCUUCCGCCCCCAUGUUUUUAUUGAGUUUUAGUAGAAAAGAAUUCAAAAAUACAGAGGGCCUGCAGACCAGACUAGGCAUUGUCUGCAUUAAUUUGGGGUAUACAUUACUUUCAGCUGAUAUUCAGAUGAAAAAUUAACCCGGCAUUCCUCCACAGUUUGUGAUUUCAUGAGCAAGUUUUGCAGACACGUCUCUACUCCCGGACCUGGUGCUCUCAAUGAUUUCCACUUGCGCGUGCACAUGGGAAAAGGAGGAACAGCUCUGCGUGUGUGUGUGCACAUUGGCAAGACAGUCUCCCAGAUGAACAAGGAACAUGCAGAAUACUAGCAGCCCUGAACUCAAGAGAGGUCUGGAAAGGGUGGUGAUAACAUGGCUUUUCACAGCAGAAUCUGGUCGCCAAGAUACCUGUUCUGUUUCUGGCCAUGCAAAAAGCAAAUCUCAGAAACUGAUUUAAGUGGCAUUAAGAAUUUUCAUUGGUAACUGGAGGAACUAGAACCCACAUCUUCCUGCACAUCAGGGAGUGUUGGACUCCUCUGUCUUAAGUGAUUUGUAAAGUUUUUUUCCAAAGGUUAUUCCUUGAGGCAAGAACAAACGAACAAAAUAUUCAGGUUAAAGGUAACAAUACUCCCAGCUGCUCUUAUCCCACUAUUGCAAGAUUUUUAUUCUCAAAAUACCUGACUUUUUAGCUGUCAUUUCAUUAGGUUGUGUAGAAUGCAAAACAGAGGAUUGUAUUUAUAAAGAUUUAUCAAUGGAA